rnacentral:rRNA from 1 species
AGUGAACGCUGGCGGUAGGCCUAACACAUGCAAGUCGAACGGCAGCACAGUAAGAGCUUGCUCUUACGGGGUGCGAGUGGCGGACGGGUGAGGAAUACAUCUGAAUCUACUUUUUCGUGGGGGAUAACGUAGGGAAACUUACGCUAAUACCGCAUACGACCUACGGGGGAAAGCAGGGGAUCUUCGGACCUUGCGCGAUUGAAUGAGCCGAUGUCGGAUUAGCUAGUUGGCGGGGUAAAGGCCCACCAAGGCGACGGUCCGUAGCUGGUCUGAGAGGAUGAUCAGCCACACUGGAACUGAGACACGGUCCAGAGUCCUACGGGAGGCAGCAGUGGGGAAUAUUGGACAAUGGGCGCAAGCCUGAUCCAGCCAUACCGCGUGGGUGAAGAAGGCCUUCGGGUUGUAAAGCCCUUUUGUUGGGAAAGAAAAGCAGCAGGUUAAUACCCCGCUGUUCUGACGGUACCCAAAGAAUAAGCACCGGCUAACUUCGUG